GAUGAACGCUAGCUACAGGCUUAACACAUGCAAGUCGAGGGGAAACGACAUCGAAAGCUUGCUUUUGAUGGGCGUCGACCGGCGCACGGGUGAGUAACGCGUAUCCAACCUGCCCAUCACUUGGGGAUAACCUUGCGAAAGUAAGACUAAUACCCAAUGAUAUCUCUAGAAGACAUCUGAAAGAGAUUAAAGAUUUAUCGGUGAUGGAUGGGGAUGCGUCUGAUUAGCUUGUUGGCGGGGUAACGGCCCACCAAGGCAACGAUCAGUAGGGGUUCUGAGAGAAAGGUCCCCCACAUUGGAACUGAGACACGGUCCAAACUCCUACGGGAGGCAGCAGUGAGGAAUAUUGGUCAAUGGGCGAGAGCCUGAACCAGCCAAGUAGCGUGCAGGAAGACGGCCCUAUGGGUUGUAAACUGCUUUUAUAAGGGAAUAAAGUGAGAGUCGUGACUCUUUUUGUAUGUACCUUAUGAAUAAGGACCGGCUAAUUCCGUG
rnacentral:rRNA from 1 species